rnacentral:lncRNA from 1 species
GUCUGCCUUCAUCUUGUUCACCUCUUACUAAGCUGCUAGACUUGAGAGCAUGCUCACCUCAGACUCCAGGGGGACAAAGGGAGAAGAAGGCAUGUGUAGGCUUAAUCCUGAUCCCAGAGUAGGGUACCUGAAAAAGCCAGAGAAUUGAUAAAGAGCACAGACUGUGUGGUAACUUCUGUGGAAAACCUUCAAACGGCUGACAACUCACAUCUGAGCUGAUGAAUGACUCAAAGAAGAGCUUAGCUUUUGAUCUUGCCGCUGUCACCCACGAGGAAUCUGAUUUCAGAUGUGUGUCCUUUGUGAUGAAGCAACCUGCAGUGUGCUCCAGCUCUGCACCAUUGGGGCUGACAGCUUGGUGGUGAAAAGGCACUGUGAAGGACCUGGAUAUGGUUGACCUCCCUGUGCUUCUUGAAGCGGUUUCCGUGGGUAGACUGGCUGCUCCCCUCCUCUGGAAAGGGUUUAUACGGUGCUCCAGAAAUUCACAAAGGAAGAAGAUGUCCACAUUUCAUAAGAUUUUAUCAUCUAAUUCUGUACCAGUGAAUACUACUCAAAAACAGGUGUCAAGUAGCAAGGGAGAUGAAUGCAAGUUAGAGUGCGGCAUAAGGAGAAUAUCUCUCUCACAGUUGUACUUAACAGUUUUGAAACCUUCAGCCCAUCAUUUCACAUCUCUGAACUAA